rnacentral:rRNA from 1 species
AUUGAACGCUGGCGGCAUGCUUUACACAUGCAAGUCGAACGGUAGCACAGAGAGCUUGCUCUCGGGUGACGAGUGGCGGACGGGUGAGUAAUGUCUGGGAAACUGCCCGAUGGAGGGGGAUAACUACUGGAAACGGUAGCUAAUACCGCAUAACGUCGCAAGACCAAAGUGGGGGACCUUCGGGCCUCACACCAUCGGAUGUGCCCAGAUGGGAUUAGCUAGUAGGUGGGGUAAUGGCUCACCUAGGCGACGAUCCCUAGCUGGUCUGAGAGGAUGACCAGCCGCACUGGAACUGAGACACGGUCCAGACUCCUACGGGAGGCAGCAGUGGGGAAUAUUGCACAAUGGGCGCAAGCCUGAUGCAGCCAUGCCGCGUGUAUGAAGAAGGCCUUCGGGUUGUAAAGUACUUUCAGCGGGGAGGAAGGCGGUGGAGUUAAUAACUUCACCGAUUGACGUUACCCGCAGAAGAAGCACCGGCUAACUCCGUGCCAGCCGCCGCGGUAA